rnacentral:sRNA from 1 species
UAAGAGAGGAAAAUGAGGUCAUGAUGA